AGAGACUUAGUUUAAUAAAAAUAUAGGAUUGUCAUUCCUAAGAUGCUCAAGGCAUUCUCUU
rnacentral:tRNA from 1 species